ACCUUCACAUUCACCUCAUCGCUCUUGGGGUUCCCCAGGACCUUGAGCACCUCAGCAGAUCUGAAGAGC